rnacentral:ncRNA from 2 species
CUCCGGAGUUGGGGCACCGAUCGUUGGCGACUCAGGCUCCUCCAUGGGAGCAGUACCCUGAGUCGCCAACAAUCGGUGCCUCAACUCGGAGACCU